GAUGAACGCUGGCGGCGUGCCUAAUACAUGCAAGUCGAGCGAACAGACGAGGAGCUUGCUCCUCUGACGUUAGCGGCGGACGGGUGAGUAACACGUGGAUAACCUACCUAUAAGACUGGGGUAACUUCGGGAAACCGGAGCUAAUACCGGAUAAUAUAUUGAACCGCAUGGUUCAAUAGUGAAAGACGGUUUUGCUGUCACUUAUAGAUGGAUCCGCGCCGCAUUAGCUAGUUGGUAAGGUAACGGCUUACCAAGGCAACGAUGCGUAGCCGACCUGAGAGGGUGAUCGGCCACACUGGAACUGAGACACGGUCCAGACUCCUACGGGAGGCAGCAGUAGGGAAUCUUCCGCAAUGGGCGAAAGCCUGACGGAGCAACGCCGCGUGAAUGAUGAAGGUCUUCGGAUCGUAAAACUCUGUUAUUAGGGAAGAACAAAUGUGUAAGUAACUAUGCACGUCUUGACGGUACCUAAUCAGAAAGCCACGGCUAACUACGUG
rnacentral:rRNA from 1 species